rnacentral:rRNA from 1 species
CCUACGGGAGGCUGCAGUAGGGAAUCUUGCACAAUGGGCGAAAGCCUGAUGGAGCAACGCCGCGUGGGUGAAGAAGGUCUUCGGAACGUAAAACCCUGUUGUUAGAGAAGAAAGUGCGUGAGAGUAACUGUUCACGUUUCGACGGUAUCUAACCAGAAAGCCACGGCUAACUACGUGCCAGCAGCCGCGGUAAUACGUAGGUGGCAAGCGUUAUCCGGAUUUAUUGGGCGUAAAGGGAACGCAGGCGGUCUUUUAAGUCUCAUGUGAAAGCCUUCGGCUUAACCGGAGUAGUGCAUUGGAAACGGGGAGACGUGAGUGCAGAAGAGGAGAGUGGAACUCCAUGUGUAGCGGUGAAAUGCGUAGAUAUAUGGAAGAACACCAGUGGCGAAAGCGGCUCUCUGGUCUGUAACUGACGCUGAGGUUCGAAAGCGUGGGUAGCAAACAGGAUUAGAUACCCUUGUAGUC